AGGUCAAGCUACAAAGGGCUGACGGUGGAUUCCUAGGCACACAGAGGCGAAGAAGGACGUGGCGACCGACGAAAUGUCCCGGGGAGCUGGAAGCGAGCAUUGAUCCGGGGGUAUCCGAAUGGGGCAACCCAGAGACUCCUGACUGAAUAAAUAGGUAAAGGAGAGCGAACCCAGCGAAUUGAAACAUCUUAGUAGCUGGAGGAAGAGAAAGCAAAAGCGAUUUUCUAAGUAGCGGUGAGCGAAAGGGAAGAAGCCUAAACCGGGUGUUUUUACACGCGGGGUAGUGGGACAGCAAGAAAGGACUGUAAAGGUUAGACGAAGCAGUUGAAAGCUGCACCAGAGGGGGUGAAAGUCCUGUAGUCUAAAGCCAGAGCAGCCGAGCUGAAUCCCGAGUAGCACGGAGCCCGUGGAAUUCCGUGUGAAUCAGCGAGGACCACCUCGUAAGGCUAAAUACUCCUGUGUGACCGAUAGAGGAAAAGUACCGUGAGGGAAAGGUGAAAAGAACCCCGGAAGGGGAGUGAAAUAGAACGUGAAACCGUCAGCCUACAAGCAGUGGGAGGUCGAUUCAACGACUGACCGCGUGCCUGUUGAAGCAUGAGCCGGCGAGUUAAAGGUAAUGGCAGGUUAAGACUUUUUGAGUUGAAGCCAAAGCGAAAGCGAGUCUGAUAAGGGCGUGAGUCAUUAUUUUUAGACCCGAACCCGGGUGAUCUAACCAUGUCCAGAAUGAAGCUUGGGUAAAGCCAAGUGGAGGUUCGAACCGACCGAUGUUGAAAAAUCGGCGGAUGAGGUGUGGUUAGGGGUGAAAUGCCAAUCGAACCCGGAGCUAGCUGGUUCUCCCCGAAAUGUGUUGAGGCACAGCGGUAAGGGUUUAAUCCUGGGGGUAAAGCACUGUUUCGGUGCGGGCUGCGAGAGCGGUACCAAAUCGAGACAAACUCUGAAUACCAGGUGUAUACCUUACCAGUCAGACGGUGGGGGAUAAGCUUCAUCGUCAAGAGGGAAACAGCCCAGACCACCAGCUAAGGUCCCCAAAUAACCGCUAAGUGAGAAAGGAGGUGGGAGUGCACAGACAACCAGGAGGUUUGCCUAGAAGCAGCCAUCCUUGAAAGAGUGCGUAAUAGCUCACUGGUCAAGCGCUCCUGCGCCGAAAAUGAACGGGGCUAAGCGGUUUACCGAAGCUGUGGACUCAGAAUAUGAGUGGUAGGGGAGCGUUCCGUAGUAGUGAGAAGCACUAGCGGCAAGCAGGUGUGGACGAAACGGAAGUGAGAAUGUCGGCUUAAGUAGCGAAAAUAUGUGUGAGAAUCACAUACCCCGAAACCCUAAGGGUUCCUCCGGACGGUUCGUCCGCGGAGGGUGAGUCAGGGCCUAAGGCGAGGCUGAAGAGCGUAGUCGAUGGAUAACGGGUCAAGAUUCCCGUACUGUUAAUAGUUUGUGAAGAGGGACGGAGUAGGUGUUGGCAAGCCAGAUGUUGGUUACUGGUGUAAGUGUUCAAGGUGAUGAGGUCUGGAGAAAACGGACUGAGCUGAGGCACGAGUCCGAGCUGCUACGGCGGCGAAGUUGCAGGCAUCAAGCUUCCAAGAAAAGCUCUAUACACGUUAAGCUAUUGACACCUGUACCCGAAACCGACACAGGUAGGGAGGUUGAGAAUACCAAGGGGCGCGAGAUAACUCUCUCUAAGGAACUCGGCAAAAUGGCUCCGUAACUUCGGGAGAAGGAGUGCCAGCGAGAGCUGGUCGCAGUGAAGAGGCCCAGGCGACUGUUUACCAAAAACACAGGUCUCCGCCAAGUCGUAAGACGAUGUAUGGGGGCUGACGCCUGCCCAGUGCCGGAAGGUUAAGGAAGUUGGUCAGGGAAACUGAAGCUAGCGACUGAAGCCCCGGUGAACGGCGGCCGUAACUAUAACGGUCCUAAGGUAGCGAAAUUCCUUGUCGGGUAAGUUCCGACCCGCACGAAAGGCGUAACGAUCUGGGCACUGUCUCGGAGAGAGACUCG
rnacentral:rRNA from 1 species